AGAGUUUGAUCCUGGCUCAGGAUGAACGCUGGCGGCGUGCUUAACACAUGCAAGUCGAACGAUCCUUCGGGAUAGUGGCGGACGGGUGAGUAACGCGUGGGAAUCUGCCCUCAGGAGGGGGAUAACGGCUGGAAACGGCCGCUAAUACCCCAUAUGCCGAGAGGUGAAAUGAAUUUCGCCUGAGGAUGAGCCCGCGUCUGAUUAGCUAGUUGGUGGGGUAAAGGCCUACCAAGGCGACGAUCAGUAGCUGGUCUGAGAGGAUGAUCAGCCACACUGGGACUGAGACACGGCCCAGACUCCUACGGGAGGCAGCAGUGGGGAAUUUUCCGCAAUGGGCGAAAGCCUGACGCAGCAACGCCGCGUGAGGGAUGAAGGCCUCUGGGCUGUAAACCUCUUUUCUCAAGGAAGAAGAACUGACGGUACUUGAGGAAUAAGCCACGGCUAAUUCCGUGCCAGCAGCCGCGGUAAUACGGGAGUGGCAAGCGUUAUCCGGAAUUAUUGGGCGUAAAGCGUCCGCAGGCGGCCUUGUAAGUCUGUUGUUAAAGCGUGGAGCUCAACUCCAUUUAAGCAAUGGAAACUACAAGGCUGGAGUGUGGUAGGGGCAGAGGGAAUUCCCGGUGUAGCGGUGAAAUGCGUAGAUAUCGGGAAGAACACCAGUGGCGAAGGCGCUCUGCUGGGCCAUAACUGACGCUCAUGGACGAAAGCCAGGGGAGCGAAAGGGAUUAGAUACCCCUGUAGUCCUGGCCGUAAACGAUGAACACUAGGUGUCGGGGGAAUCGACCCCCUCGGUGUCGUAGCCAACGCGUUAAGUGUUCCGCCUGGGGAGUACGCACGCAAGUGUGAAACUCAAAGGAAUUGACGGGGGCCCGCACAAGCGGUGGAGUAUGUGGUUUAAUUCGAUGCAACGCGAAGAACCUUACCAGGGUUUGACAUCCUGCGAAUCCCUUGGAAACGAGGGAGUGCCUUCGGGAGCGCAGUGACAGGUGGUGCAUGGCUGUCGUCAGCUCGUGUCGUGAGAUGUUGGGUUAAGUCCCGCAACGAGCGCAACCCACGUCUUUAGUUGCCAGCAUUCAGUUGGGCACUCUAGAGAGACCGCCGGUGAUAAACCGGAGGAAGGUGUGGAUGACGUCAAGUCAUCAUGCCCCUUACAUCCUGGGCUACACACGUACUACAAUGCUACGGACAAAGGGCAGCAAGCUCGCGAGAGUUAGCAAAUCCCAUAAACCGUGGCUCAGUUCAGAUCGUAGGCUGCAACUCGCCUACGUGAAGGAGGAAUCGCUAGUAAUCGCAGGUCAGCAUACUGCGGUGAAUACGUUCCCGGGCCUUGUACACACCGCCCGUCACACCAUGGAAGUUGGCCAUGCCCGAAGUCGUUACUCCAACCCUUGUGGAGGAGGACGCCGAAGGUGGGGCUGAUGACUGGGGUGAAGUCGUAACAAGGUA
rnacentral:rRNA from 1 species